GUUGCAUUUGAUAAUCAUUAGUUAUUUUAAUGUUUUGUCAUUUAGUCUGAAUCUCUCUUGUCUGAACACUUUAACAGCAAUUCUAAAUAGUCUUUCGCCAGGAGCUAAUGUUGCAGAUAUUGCUUGAUCAGAACAUGGAAGUUCCAUGAUCAGGAGAUCAUCAUAUUGAUAGGAGAGUGAAUUUGUUCCUAUUAACUUGCCAAUACAUCAAGGG
rnacentral:lncRNA from 1 species